GCCUGGGUGGCUCAGUUGGUUGAGGGUCCGACUUCGGCUCGGGUCAUGAUCUUGCGGUUUGUGAGUUCAAGCCCCACAUCGGGCU
rnacentral:tRNA from 1 species